AAAAAGAAUCCAGGCAGAAAUGAGUUUAAAAAAAAAUAGUAACUAAUAAAAUUUUUAUAACUGUAGGACUUGGUGGGAUUGGUCGAAAUUCCUUCAGUAGUGGGAUGCAGUGAUCAGAAUACCUUUGGGAGUGGGUGGGAUCAAACCGAAUUCCUUAAGGAGCAGACGGAGAGUAGUGAGAAUUCUUUUGGAUUUGGGUGGGUUUGGUCAAUUCCCUUGGAAGUGGGUGGGAACGGAAAGAUUCCUUCUGAAAUGGGCGGAAAGUGAUCAAAGUGGAAUUCCUUGUGGAAAGGUUGUGUGUUCAGAAUUCCUUGCAAUAUGUGUGAGGGGGGUGUCAGAGUUCCUUGCGGAAUGGAUGAGAGUGGUCAGAAUUCCUUUCGGAAUGGGUUGAGAGGUGUCAGAAUUCCUUCGAGAGUAGGUGCGUAGUGUCAGAAUUCUUUGUAGAAAAGGAUGAGUGGUCAGAAUUCCUUGCAAAAUUGGUGAGAGUGGUCAGAAUUCCUUGCGGAAUGGGUGAGUGAGGACAGAAUUCCUUCGAGAGUAGGUGGGUAGUGUCAGAAUUCCUUUGGGAGAAGGUGAAAGUGGUUCAAAUUUCCUUUAGGAGCAAGUGUGGGUGGUCAUAAACUCCUGUAGGACCGGGUGGGAGUGGGACUUUAAAAAAAAACCCUGCACACCUCUUCUCCAUCGUGCAAAUUUUGCAUCCCUCUGCACCCAAGACUCGCCAUCCAAAGUUGGAAGUAACAUGUAUGAAGUAUGGUGUUUUUCAGAGACUAACCACAUCUACAUUUGGGUUAAAGCUAAAUGUGCAUAAAUGAAAUGUUUAGCUGAAGACUUAGAGUCUUAACAUGCAAUAACUGCCCUCUCCUACUAAAAUACGUCAUUAGAAACACAUGAAAUAUGUUCAUUAGCUUAAAAAUCCUUAAUAUUUGAUACAUAUUUUAACGUACGGAGGCCGCCAUUACGUGACAUGGGCAAUGGUUGCACUCGAGCACUCAAAAG
ensembl:lncRNA